AACGAACGCUGGCGGCAUGCCUAACACAUGCAAGUCGAACGAGACCUCCGGGUCUAGUGGCGCACGGGUGCGUAACGCGUGGGAACCUGCCCUUAGGUUUGGAAUAACUCUCCGAAAGGGGUGCUAAUACCGGAUAAUGUCUUCGGACCAAAGAUUUAUCGCCCUUGGAUGGGCCCGCGUUGGAUUAGCUAGUUGGUAGGGUAAAAGCCUACCAAGGCGACGAUCCAUAGCUGGUCUGAGAGGAUGAUCAGCCACACUGGGACUGAGACACGGCCCAGACUCCUACGGGAGGCAGCAGUGGGGAAUAUUGGACAAUGGGGGAGGGCCUGAUCCAGCAAUGCCGGGUGAGUGAUGAAGGCCUUAGAGUUGUAAAGCUCUUUUACCCGGGAUGAUAAUGACGGUACCGGAAGAAUAAGCUCCGGCUAACUCCGUG
rnacentral:rRNA from 1 species